GAUGAACGCUAGCGGCAGGCUUAACACAUGCAAGUCGAGGGGUAUUGGUUUUCGGACCAAGAGACCGGCGCACGGGUGCGUAACGCGUAUGCAAUCUAUCUUUUGCAGAGGGAUAGCCCAGAGAAAUUUGGAUUAAUACCUCAUAGUAUAGUACUUUGGCAUCAAGGAACUAUUAAAGUCACAACGGCAAAAGAUGAGCAUGCGUCCCAUUAGCUAGUUGGUAAGGUAACGGCUUACCAAGGCUACGAUGGGUAGGGGUCCUGAGAGGGAGAUCCCCCACACUGGUACUGAGACACGGACCAGACUCCUACGGGAGGCAGCAGUGAGGAAUAAUUGGACAAUGGGCGCAAGCCUGAUCCAGCCAUGCCGCGUGCAGGAUGACGGUCCUAUGGAUUGUAAACUGCUUUAUACAGGAGAAACACUCCGACGUGUCGGAGCUUGACGGUACUGUAAGAAUAAGGAUCGGCUAACUCCGUGCCAGCAGCCGACGG
rnacentral:rRNA from 1 species